GGAUGUAAAGGUGAGCUGGCUGCGACGUCAUCACCCCAGUGAUCAUCAGGGUUGAUUCAGCUGAUCUGGCUGGCUAAGUGGGUGUCCCCUUCCUCCUUCAGUGCCCCAUGUGUGUCUCUCUUAUAGUUGCAAGCUUAGUGCAUGAGGAUGGCCACCCUGACAGAGGAGGACUCUUACUCCACCAAGGGUAUACUAGUAGCUCCCUGCUCCACUAGAACCUCCCAGUGAGCUCUCAGACUAGCUACAUGAUCAAAACAGAGCAAAUUACAUAUCUAUUAUGUGCCAAACAUUUUUCUAAGAAUAAUUUUUG
ensembl:misc_RNA 7SK 7SK RNA